rnacentral:lncRNA from 1 species
CCCUCCCCCACGUCACAAUGGGAUUCAAUGAGUUCUAGCUUCUGUUGCUAGGGCUGUUGCCAGCUAGGUAGCCAGACAGUUUAAUUUGGCUAAUGUUAGCUAGCUAGCUAGCUACUGUAAUUGUUAUUGUUGCUUUCUGUUUGUAUGUAGCUUGCACUUCAAUGGCAUCCCUCGAGGAGAUUUUCUUUUAUCUUUCCAACCAGGCAAAGUACUAUGAAGGCACCACUGAUCUCAACAAGAGGCACACCAUUCAGAGAAAUUCAGGUCAGUACCCUGUCUAGCCUGCCAGAAGUUUGAGAAGGCGAAGGCCGUGGCGCUGAAGUUGUGGCGCCCGUUAAAGUUAUUUCAUCGAGGCACAUGAUCAGGGUGGACCUCAUCGGACCCCUCACGAAAUCCAGGAAUGGCAACGGUGACCGAUCACUUUACCAAGUGGAUGGAGGCAAUACCCAUUAAGGUCAGUAAAGGAAGAGUAUGUGCUUAACUCUAAAUUCCCUU